UUUAAUUUACCCUAACUUUUUGGAUAGCAUAAAUUAAAACUAGUGUAUUUUGAUAGGAACAGCCCAGAUCCGAGUUUAUACUAACUUUGGAGCACGUUAGCCUAAACCAGAUUUACCCUAACCCGGCCAAUUAAACGAUUCUGUUAGUUCAUAUUUUAUCCACCAGAGUUUGCUUCAUACUCAAAGGCCUUCCUCGUCCAGUAAAAGAUCUGGCAGCGAUGUGCCACGUCGAUUUGGAAGCACGACUGAGAUACAAUUUCGGCGCAGCUGUUUGCACGCCGGAAUAUCUUUGAGCGUUAUUUGUUGUUGCACGUGCAGUUUCAAGGAUGGUUGUCGUUGUGUGUCUACUGUCUACAACAGAGCAACACCGAUACCUGCUCCUGAUCCGGUCACGGAGAGCGCCGCUGCAUCUGCACGGCCUGCUCCCGAUCCCGGACAACUGGCCUCCACUCCCGACCGGCUGCCGGCUCCUGAUCGAGCGCCUGCUCCUGGCCGGCCGCCUGUUCCGGUGCCGCCAGGGCUGACCGGAGCGGUGUCCGCGCCGGGUGUGACCACCGUCCCGCCGUCCGCACCCUCUCCCAGCGCGCCGCGGUACCGGCUGAGAGACCGGUCCACUCUGCGGCACCCAGACCGACACGUGGCGAGCUAUGAGUAGGCGUUUUGUUUCAGUUGUUAUUUGUUCUGUGAGGUGCAUAUUUAUUUGUUUGUCCAUGCUGUGCAAGUAUUCGGGGUGGGGAGGAGUGUCAUGGAGCUGAGCUGGCGGCCGCCGCGCCGGUGCACGCGUACUUGCGCUCGUGACAUCCGUGCUGGGGGCACUCGUAUGUUAACCGUGGUGGCGUUGUCUCUGUGACCCGGGGGCUAACUGGCCGGCUCGAAUACAGUUUGGACCGAGA